UACGUAGGGUGCGAGCGUUAAUCGGAAUUACUGGGCGUAAAGCGUGCGCAGGCGGUUCUAUAAGACAGAUGUGAAAUCCCCGGGCUCAACCUGGGAAUGGCAUUUGUGACUGUAGAGUUAGAGUACGGUAGAGGGGGAUGGAAUUCCGCGUGUAGCAGUGAAAUGUGUAGAUAUGCGGAGGAACGCCGAUGGCGAAGGCAGUCCCCUGGGCCUGUACUGACGCUCAUGCACGAAAGCGUGGGGAGCAAACAGG
rnacentral:rRNA from 1 species